ACCAUGUUGACUGAGGUUUUGCAUUUCUCGUUCUCGACGGUCUAAUUCUGCAGCUUUUCUUUCUAGUUCUUCCUGGCGCUUAAGAAGUUCAGCUUGGGCCAAGGCAUGUUCCUACACAAAAAAUAAUUCUUCAUCAGAGAUCAAACCAGGAGUACAAAGAAGAAAUGUAAACUCAACAAACCAAGGGUGGCACUCACGUGACCACAAAUUAAAGUUAUGAUUUCAUCUUGUGAGACUACGAAUUCAGGUUACUACUGCCUAUAUCCAAGGGAAAUUAAGAAACGACUUCCCUUCCAACCAGCAUUUGGGAACAACUUUCGCGUCCUAGGCAGCGGAGCUCAUGGACAAACCCGGUGUGCUUUUCGGGAGCUACUCGUUUAGCUACUGCACUCAGGGAAGCGCAGAUCAUGAACUCCUCCGUCUCCUCCCUUGGCCGUUCCUGAGCCAGACCCUCCCGGGGCUGCGGCUGAUGAAGGAGGCUGCCUCCGAGAAGGACGGGAGCUCACGUGGGGAGGGAACUGUAUCCUGAUACAGCCCAGAGGACCGGUGACGCACGGGGAGCUUGGAACACAGCCCGGCGCUCCCCUUCCCGGGAGCAGCUAGGUGGGCAGGUGAUCGUCCGCCUGCACUAUUCUUUGACAGGUGUGUUCAUUUUUUACUUCGAUAGCAGACCCUCCGCCUCAGCCUACAUGUCGAGAGAGGGGUGGCAGCGCCACACAAGUAUCUCUGAGCGCAACACAAGUUUAAGAAAUAAAAAUACCACCACCACCA